GACGUAGGGGGCAAGCGUUGUCCGGAAUGACUGGGCGUAAAGGGCGUGUAGGCGGCGCGGUACGUGGCGUCGGAAAGCCCCCGGCUCACCCGGGGGAGGCGGCGGCAAACGGCCGGGCUGGAGGGCAGGAGAGGGGCGCGGAAUUCCCGGUGGAGCGGUGAAAUGCGUAGAGAUCGGGAAGAACACCCGUGGCGAAGGCGGCGCCCUGGCCUGGCCCUGACGCUGAGGCGCGACAGCGUGGGGAGCGAACGGGAUUAGAUACCCCGGUAGUCCACGCCGUAAACGAUGGGUACUAGGUGUCGGGGGGGGUUCACCCCGCGGUGCCGGAGCUUACGCACUAAGUACCCCGCCUGGGGAGUACGGCCGCAAGGUUGAAACUCAAAGGAAUUGACGGGGGCCCGCACAAGCAGUGGAGCAUGUGGUUUAAUUCGACGCAACGCGCAGAACCUUACCAGGCCUUGACGGUCGUCGCAACCCCGGGAAACCGGGGGGCCCUUCGGGGGACGGCGGCCCAGGUGCUGCAUGGUUGUCGUCAGCUCGUGUCGUGAGAUGUUGGGUUAAGUCCCGCAACGAGCGCAACCCUCGUCCCGUGUUGCCAGCAGGUGAAGCUGGGCACUCACGGGAGACUGCCGGUGACAAACCGGAGGAAGGUGGGGAUGAUGUCAAAUCCGCAUGGCCUUUAUGGCCUGGGCCACACACGUGCUACAAUGGCGCCGGCAAUGGGCGGCGACGGCGCGAGCCGAAGCGAAUCCCCAAACGGCGUCGUAGUUCGGAUCGCAGGCUGCAACUCGCCUGCGUGAAGCCGGAAUUGCUAGUAAUCGCCCAUCAGCAUGGGGCGGUGAAUGCGUUCCCGGGCCUUGUACACACCGCCCGUCACACCACGAAAGCCGCUCACACCCGAAGCCGGCGGCAACGCCGUCGACGGUGGGGGGGGUAAUUGGGGUG
rnacentral:rRNA from 1 species